GAUGAACGCUAGCGGCAGGCUUAAUACAUGCAAGUCGAGGGGCAGCACGGUUAGCAAUAACUGGUGGCGACCGGCGCACGGGUGCGUAACACGUAUACAAUCUACCUUAAACAGGGGGAUAGCCUUUCGAAAGAGAGAUUAAUACCCCGUAAUAAAUUGAACGGCAUCGUUUGAUUUUGAAAGCUCCGGCGGUUUGAGAUGAGUAUGCGUCUGAUUAGCUAGUUGGUGAGGUAACGGCUCACCAAGGCGACGAUCAGUAGGGGAUCUGAGAGGACUAACCCCCCACACUGGUACUGAGACACGGACCAGACUCCUACGGGAGGCAGCAGUAAGGAAUAUGGUCAAUGGAGGCAACUCUGAACCAGCCAUGCCGCGUGCAGGAUGACGGCCCUAUGGGUUGUAAACUGCUUUUAUACAAGAGAAAACCCUGGUACGUGUACCAGGUUGAUAGUAUUGUAAGAAUAAGCAUCGGCUAACUUCGUGCCUAGCAGCCGCGGUAAU
rnacentral:rRNA from 1 species